GGUAAAAUGGCUGAGUAAAGCAAUAGACUGUAAAU
rnacentral:tRNA from 1 species